rnacentral:rRNA from 1 species
UACAGAGGUCCCAAGCGUUGUUCGGAUUCACUGGGCGUAAAGGGUGCGUAGGUGGCGAGGUAAGUCGGAUGUGAAAGCUCGGAGCUCAACUCCGAAAUGGCAUUGGAAACUACCUUGCUCGAGGGUUGGAGGGGGGACUGGAAUUCUCGGUGUAGCAGUGAAAUGCGCAGAUAUCAGGAGGAACACCGGUGGCGAAGGCGGACUCUGGGCCUGUUCUGACGCUGAGGCGCGAAAGCUAGGGGAGCGAACAGG